rnacentral:rRNA from 1 species
AAUGAACGCUGGCGGCAUGCCUAACACAUGCAAGUCGAACGAAGGCUUCGGCCUUAGUGGCGCACGGGUGCGUAACGCGUGGGAAUCUGCCCCUUGGUUCGGAAUAACAGUUAGAAAUGACUGCUAAUACCGGAUGAUGACGUAGGUCCAAAGAUUUAUCGCCGAGGGAUGAGCCCGCGUAGGAUUAGCUAGUUGGUGUGGUAAGAGCGCACCAAGGCGACGAUCCUUAGCUGGUCUGAGAGGAUGAUCAGCCACACUGGGACUGAGACACGGCCCAGACUCCUACGGGAGGCAGCAGUGGGGAAUAUUGGACAAUGGGCGAAAGCCUGAUCCAGCAAUGCCGCGUGAGUGAUGAAGGCCUUAGGGUUGUAAAGCUCUUUUACCCGGGAUGAUAAUGACAGUACCGGGAGAAUAAGCUCCGGCUAACUCCGUG